GUAGGGUGUCUGAUGGUCAAGGAUGAGAAGGUGAAGUAAAGGAUUCCGUCAAGGAAGAGAGUCUGUAGAGCCUGAGAUCAUCUUAGAGGACACAGUUUCCCCUGCUCUUUAGAAUCAGAGUGGUAUUGGGUAGGGAGAUCAGGCCAAAAUACUUCUACUUCAAUGAAACCUUGCACCAGCCAAUGCUACAAAAGAAUGUGAAAGAUCUGUGAACCAACUAAAAAGAAAAUAUGGAGAGAAACAUUGC